AUUGAACGCUGGCGGCAGGCUUAACACAUGCAAGUCGAGCGGGCGAGGUUGCUUCGGUAACUGAGCUAGCGGCGGACGGGUGAGUAAUGCUUAGGAAUCUGCCUAUUAGUGGGGGACAACAUUCCGAAAGGGAUGCUAAUACCGCAUACGUCCUACGGGAGAAAGCAGGGGCUCUUUAUGACCUUGCGCUAAUAGAUGAGCCUAAGUCGGAUUAGCUAGUUGGUGGGGUAAAGGCCUACCAAGGCGACGAUCUGUAGCGGGUCUGAGAGGAUGAUCCGCCACACUGGGACUGAGACACGGCCCAGACUCCUACGGGAGGCAGCAGUGGGGAAUAUUGGACAAUGGGGGGAACCCUGAUCCAGCCAUGCCGCGUGUGUGAAGAAGGCCUUUUGGUUGUAAAGCACUUUAAGCGAGGAGGAGGCGCUCUAGGUUAAUACCCUAGAUGCGUGGACGUUACUCGCAGAAUAAGCACCGGCUAACUCUGUGCCAGCCGCCGCAGUAACAC
rnacentral:rRNA from 1 species